AACGAACGCUGGCGGCGUGCUUAACACAUGCAAGUCGAGUGCACAGUUUGCGUAGCAAUACGGAGAUGGGUGCACGGCGCACGGGUGCGUAACACGUGGGCAAUCUGCCCUCCGAUGGGGAAUAACCCCGCGAAAGCGGGGCUAAUUCCGCAUAACAUUCCCUGGACUUCGGCUUGGGGAUUCAAAGCCGUAAGGCGUCGGAGGAGGAGCCCGCGCCCGAUUAGCUAGUUGGUGAGGUAAUGGCUCACCAAGGCAAUGAUCGGUAGCUGGUCUGAGAGGAUGGCCAGCCACACUGGAACUGAGACACGGUCCAGACUCCUACGGGAGGCAGCAGUGGGGAAUCUUGCGCAAUGGGCGAAAGCCUGACGCAGCGACGCCGCGUGGGGGAUGAAGCUUCUCGGAGUGUAAACCCCUUUCGACUGGGACGAAUGCCUCGCAAGAGGAGUGACGGUACCAGUAGAAGAAGCCCCGGCUAACUACGUGCCAGCAGCCGCGGUAAGACGUAAGGGGCCAGCGUUGUUCGGAAUUACUGGGUGUAAAGGGUUCGUAGGCGGUGCGGCAAGUCGGGAGUGAAAUCUCUGGGCUUAACUCAGAAGCUGCUUCCGAAACUGCCGUGCUCCAAUGUGGGAGAGGCGCGUGGAAUGCACGUGUAACGGUGAAAUGCGUAAUAUCUGCAGGAAACCCCUGGGGAAAACGGGCGCUGGACACAACUGACGCUGUAGAAGAAAACUAGGGGAGAAACAAGAUUAGAUACCCUGGGUAUCCUAGCCCUAACGAUAAGGACUUGGGGUGGCGGCCCUUCGGGGGUGUGUCCCGGAACUAAAAGUUAAAUCCUGCACCUGGGGAGAAGGUCGCCAAAAA
rnacentral:rRNA from 1 species